CCCUUAGAUGUUCUGGGCUGCACGCGCGCUACACUGAAGCUAUCAACACGUUUUCCCUCCCUGAGAAGGGCGGGUAACCUUUUGAAUCAGCUUCGUGGUAGGGAUUGGGGCUUGCAAUUGUUCCCCGUGAACCAGGAAUUCCUAGUAGACGCGAGUCAUAAGCUCGCAUCGAUUAAGUCCCUGCCCUUUGUACACACCGCCCGUCGCUACUACCGAUUGAACGUUUUAGUGAGGCAUUUGGACCGACGCAUCUCAGUUUAACCGCUGGUUUGUGUUGGAAAGACUUCCAAACUUGAGCGUUUAGAGGAAGUAAAAGUCGUAACA
rnacentral:rRNA from 1 species